GAGGAACGCUGGCGGCGUGCCUAAUACAUGCAAGUCGAGCGAACAGACGAGGAGCUUGCUCCUCUGACGUUAGCGGCGGACGGGUGAGUAACACGUGGAUAACCUACCUAUAAGACUGGGAUAACUUCGGGAAACCGGAGCUAAUACCGGAUAAUAUAUUGAACCGCAUGGUUCAAUAGUGAAAGACGGUUUUGCUGUCACUUAUAGAUGGAUCCGCGCCGCAUUAGCUAGUUGGUAAGGUAACGGCUUACCAAGGCAACGAUGCGUAGCCGACCUGAGAGGGUGAUCGGCCACACUGGAACUGAGACACGGUCCAGACUCCUACGGGAGGCAGCAGUAGGGAAUCUUGCGCAAUGGGCGAAAGCCUGACGGAGCAACGCCGCGUGAGUGAUGAAGGUCUUCGGAUCGUAAAACUCUGUUAUUAGGGAAGAACAAAUGUGUAAGUAACUAUGCACGUCUUGACGGUACCUAAUCAGAAAGCCACGGCUAACUACGUG
rnacentral:rRNA from 1 species